rnacentral:rRNA from 1 species
UGUGAAGAAGGCCUUCGGGUUGUAAAGCACUUUUGUCCGGAAAGAAAACCUCUGCCCUAAUACGGUGGUGGGAUGACGGUACCGGAAGAAUAAGCACCGGCUAACUACGUGCCAGCAGCCGCGGUAAUACGUAGGGUGCGAGCGUUAAUCGGAAUUACUGGGCGUAAAGCGUGCGCAGGCGGUCUGUUAAGACCGAUGUGAAAUCCCCGGGCUUAACCUGGGAACUGCAUUGGUGACUGGCAGGCUUUGAGUGUGGCAAAGGGGGGUAGAAUUCCACGUGUAGCAGUGAAAUGCGUAAAGAUGUGGAGGAAUACCGAUGGCGAAGGCAGCCCCCUGGGCCAACACUGACGCUCAUGCACAAAAGCGUGGGGAGCAAACAGGAUUAAAUACCCUGGUAGUCCACGCCCUAAACAAUGUCAACUAGUUGUUGGGGAUUCAUUUCCUUAGUAACGUAGCUAACGCGUGAAGUUGACCGCCUGGGGAGUACGGUCGCAAGAUUAAAACUCAAAGGAAUUGACGGGGACCCGCACAAGCGGUGGAUGAUGUGGAUUAAUUCGAUGCAACGCGAAAAACCUUACCUACCCUUGACAUGGUCGGAAUCC